rnacentral:lncRNA from 1 species
GUUCACUUGUGGUGCAGCGCAGGUAAAGGCAGCAGUCGGGCGCCCAGCCAGCUGACCCGAUAAGUCCCACACUUUCCAGCCGAGGAGGGAAAGUAUUUUUAAGUCGGUUAGAUGCUUCGAAUGUGUUUGGAAAUUCCGGGGGUGAGAUCAUUUGUGAGGGCCGAAAGGCGAGGGGGGCCGGGGCGGCGGCGGCGGGGGGGGGGGAAAGAGUACAUAAAGUAAAUCAGAAAGCGAAAGUAAAAUUCACAGACAGAGGAUGAGUGCGCCACACACUCUGAGCAGAGCAGCGCCGGCAUCGGAUCAGCACGUGUGAGUCUGGAUGGUCACAGUGGCAGCAUGACAUCAUGGAAACGCAAAGCCCGACUCUUUCUCCUAGUGCUCCUGAGCACGAUCGACCUGUCAUAUGGGGGAUGUGCGGAAUACCUCAAAGUGGACGCAUGGGGAGGAAACCUGACACAGUUCUUCACCCUCGUUGAAACAGAUGAUCCCAAGGACAUAGCGGAGUGUACUUUGGAGAAAGAAGCUGUAGAAAACAAUACGAAUGCAUGGUUCAUACUUCGAGACUGCUUCAAGAAAGAAAUAAGGAAGGUCAUACCCAGUGAAAAGUGUAAAAGGAACACUUCUGGGACUAUCCCUUUCUAUAAUUUCAUGUGCUUGACGAUUGCAACUAUCAACCGCAAAUAUCAAGGUGCCAACAUCGAAGAUAAACACUGCGAGUAUGAUAUUACAUGCAAGCUCCUUUCAGGAGGACCAUCUACAGCGACACCAACAACACUGCCAGAAAGAACAGAGGUGACACCCACAUGGACAACAACAGAACUACCACCAACAACAACAAACUUCACACAGAUCACUGGGUUAAAUAGAUCAACAACAUUGCCGCUAACAACAACACAGCCAAAAAGAACAACAUCAGCAACUAGACUGGUGACACCCACAAUGACACCAACACCAGAAGUGACACCAUCAACCCCAUCCACAGACUUGGUCAAGGUAGAAAAUCCUCUCGCCAAUGUAAAAGAAAAUCCUCUCACCAAUGAAAAAGAAAACUUAGCCCUGAAGAUAUUUUCAGUGAUAUCCGCAGCCCUCAAUAUGGCCGCGCUCAUGGUGUUUCUUUAUCAACGCAAGAGAAACACGGGGUUCAGUCACGAGCCAGUUGCAACCUAUAUGUCGGAUGGAGCCUCAUUAGAAGCUCAACGAAUGACAGAGGUAGCUAUACAUACUACUAUACUAGUGCAGGACCUCCUCAGCUUCCCCCAGAGCCGAUGUUGUAAUAUUCUAGACUCACUUUUGUUUAGUCAUGCUAUUGUUAUUUAUGAUUCAUGGAACUGUUCUGUAUCUGAUCACCAUUUUUAUGUUUUAGUCCUGAGACUUGGACAGUCAGGAUGGUUUAUCUUAACACAAGGGUUAAAGACGAAACUAUCUUGUAGUGAUGUUUAA